rnacentral:misc_RNA from 1 species
UUGAAUUUUAAUGAAGAGUUUGGUUGUAGCUGGCCCAUUCAUUUGGGCAUGUGCACACCUUCCUCUUUCAUCCCACACACACCUGUGAACCUGUGAGACAGAGAUGGGGUAUUUACUUGCUGCUUUUGGAAUACAAAGGCAAUAGGUUAUUGGACCCCCCCUCUGUCUACUCAAUUAAUAUAAACUCAAUUUAUUUUAAAACGAAUGUAAUGGAUGUAACACAUCUCAUAC